rnacentral:misc_RNA from 1 species
GAUGAAGAACGCAGCGAAAUGCGAUACGUAGUGUGAAUUGCAGAAUUCAGUGAAUCAUCGAAUCUUUGAACGCACAUUGCACCUCUCGGUAUUCCGGGAGGUAUGCCUGUUCGAGCGUCAUUUGUACCCUCAAGCUCUGCUUGGUGUUGGGUGUUUGUUCCGCCUCUGUGUGUGAACUCGCCUCAAAACAAUUGGCAGCCAGCGUACUUGUUUCGGAGCGCAGCACAUUUUGCGAUCCAGAUCAACGUACAGCGGCAUCCAAGAAGCCUUAUUUAACGCUCUUGACCUCGGAUCAGGUAGGGAUACCCGCUGAACUUAAGCAUAUCAAUAAGCGGAGGA